rnacentral:rRNA from 1 species
GGGCGCAAGCCUGAUGCAGCGACGCCGCGUGAGGGAUGGAGGCCUUCGGGUUGUAAACCUCUUUUGUUAGGGAGCAAGGCACUUUGUGUUGAGUGUACCUUUCGAAUAAGCACCGGCUAACUACGUGCCAGCAGCCGCGGUAAUACGUAGGGUGCAAGCGUUAUCCGGAAUUAUUGGGCGUAAAGGGCUCGUAGGCGGUUCGUCGCGUCCGGUGUAAAAGUCCAUCGCUUAACGGUGGAUCCGCGCCGGGUACGGGCGGGCUUGAGUGCGGUAGGGGAGACUGGAAUUCCCGGUGUAACGGUGGAAUGUGUAGAUAUCGGGAAGAACACC